GGCGUAAAGGGCUUGUAGGCGGUUGGUCGCGUCUGCCGUGAAAUCCUCUGGCUUAACUGGGGGCKUGCGGUGGGUACGGGCUGACUUGAGUGCGGUAGGGGAGACUGGAACUCCUGGUGUAGCGGUGGAAUGCGCAGAUAUCAGGAGGAACACCGAUGGCGAAGGCAGGUCUCUGGGCUGUAACUGACGCUGAGAAGCGAAAGCAUGGGGAGCGAACAGGAUUAGAUACCCUGGUAGUCCAUGCCGUAAACGUUGGGCACUAGGUGUGGGGAACAUUCCACGUUUUCCGCGCCGUAGCUAACGCAUUAAGUGCCCCGCCUGGGGAGUACGGCCGCAAGGCUAAAACUCAAAGAAGUUGACGGGGGCCCGCACAAGCGGCGGAGCAUGCGGAUUAAUUCGAUGCAACGCGAAGAACCUUACCAAGGCUUGACAU
rnacentral:rRNA from 1 species